rnacentral:rRNA from 1 species
GCUUACGGCCAUACCACCUCAAUGCGCCCGAUCUCGUCUGAUCUCGGAAGCUAGCAGGGUCAGGCCUGGUUAGUACUUGGAUGGGUGACCGCCUGGGAAUACCAGGUGCUGUAAGCU